rnacentral:rRNA from 1 species
AGUCGAGCGGAUGAAAGGAGCUUGCUCCUGGAUUCAGCGGCGGACGGGUGAGUAAUGCCUAGGAAUCUGCCUGGUAGUGGGGGACAACGUUUCGAAAGGAACGCUAAUACCGCAUACGUCCUUACGGGAGAAAGCAGGGGACCUUCGGGCCUUGCGCUAUCAGAUGAGCCUAGGUCGGAUUAGCUAGUUGGUGAGGUAAUGGCUCACCAAGGCGACGAUCCGUAACUGGUCUGAGAGGAUGAUCAGUCACACUGGAACUGAGACACGGUCCAGACUCCUACGGGAGGCAGCAGUGGGGAAUAUUGGACAAUGGGCGAAAGCCUGAUCCAGCCAUGCCGCGUGUGUGAAGAAGGUCUUCGGAUUGUAAAGCACUUUANGUUGGGAGGAAGGGUUGUAGAUUAAUACUCUGCAAUUUUGACGUUACCGACAGAAUAAGCACCGGCUAACUCUGUGCCAACAGCGGGGGU